rnacentral:rRNA from 1 species
UACGGGGGGAGCAAGCGUUGUUCGGAUUUACUGGGCGUAAAGGGCGCGUAGGCGGCAAUUCAAGUCAGCUGUGAAAUCUCCGGGCUUAACUCGGAACGGUCAGCUGAUACUGCUUUGCUAGAGUGCAGAAGGGGCAAUCGGAAUUCUUGGUGUAGCGGUGAAAUGCGUAGAUAUCGGGAGGAACACCUGUGGCGAAAGCGGCGCACUGGACCAUAACUGACGCUGAGGCGCGAAAGCUAGGGGAGCAAACAGG